GGAUGUGUAGAGGUUAACAUUGGUGCCAACCCAUCUGCUGAGGAAGGCGGUGAGGACGAGGGUGUUGACGACUCUGUUGAAAAGGUUGUUGACAUUGUCGACACCUUCAGGCUUCAGGAGCAGCCCACUUACGACAAGAAGGGUUUCAUCGCCUAUAUCAAGAAGUACAUCAAGCUUUUGACUCCCAAGCUCACCCCGGAACAGCAAGAAGAGUUCAAGAAGGGUAUUGAGGGAGCUACCAAGUACUUGCUCCCAAAGCUCAAGGACUUCCAAUUGUAAGUUUUUCCCCCUCUCGAUCAAAUUGUAUUUUGAUGCUCUGGUUCGUAUGGAAAACUCAUUUGUGUUUUGUUUUGAUAGCUUUGUUGGGGAGGGGAUGCACGAUGACAGCACUAUCGUCUUUGCUUACUACAAGGAAGGUGCUACGAACCCAACAUUUUUGUACUUCGGACAUGGUUUGAAGGAGGUCAAGUGCUGAGUGAAGAAGCUCUUCGGGGUUACUGUGGUCGGUCGCAGCGACUCUAUGUUCCUUUAUAUUGUUGUGUGUUUCG
rnacentral:lncRNA from 1 species